UUUUUUGGUUAAUUCGGUUAAUUAACUGAUUUUGAACUGAAUUAACCGUUAACUAAAAUUCUAAAAAAUUAUUAACCGACCCUCGACCAAAUUAGUUCAGUUAACCGAUUGAUUAACCAAAUUAAUUUAGUUUGGUCAGUUAAAUCGGUAUUACCCGAAAUUUGUACACCCCUACUAAUACUCAUAUUCUAAAAUAGUUAUUACAAAACCCAAAUAUAUUAUACUAAGCCCAAACCUAAAUAAUGUACCCAUUAUUUACCCAAUGUAACACCCCAA
rnacentral:lncRNA from 1 species